GCGGAACUGCUGCGUUGGUCUUUGCUUUCUCCAGUGUUCUGAUCUGACUCCCUUUCGAUGUGGGAGGCAUGUCGCCACGGUGAAGUAGACUGGCCUUUGUGCCAGAAAUGGAUCCCGGCUUUUGCUUCCCCCCUGGCUGAUUCCAGGUCGAAACCUGAGGCAGGACGGCAUGGCGGUUCCAAU
rnacentral:other from 3 species